rnacentral:lncRNA from 1 species
UUACAUUUUUCUCUCAAGAUACUUCUUUAAUUUCUUCACGGUAUCAGAGCAUAUCAACACUGUCAUCUUAUUAAAUUUAUCUGAGUCAUCCUUUUUCCCUGUUCUUCAAAAUGGUUUCACCUACUGAAGUUACUCCAAGUACUGGAGUUUCUGGGGCUAAUGCUACUGCUACUUUGGAUCCUAGUAACCCCUAUUUUUUUCACCCUUCAGACUCUGCUGAGAUAACCUUGGUAAAUUCUUUUUUUGGUGGGAGAGGUUAUGGGGGCUGGAGGCGCUCCAUCUUGAUAGCCCUUUCAGCUAAGAACAAAUUGG